rnacentral:lncRNA from 1 species
GAAUGCCUUGCAAGGCAAGGAAAUCAAGUAUUCUAGAACCCUAGGUGCGGCAAAGAUUAGGGAGAUCAGAUUAGGCAAUGGGCUAGGAUUUAGGUGCGGCAUUAAGUGAGGAUCCAAGAUGAAUUGGGCUAGGAAGGUGCGGCCUUGUCCAAGAGGUAAGGAUGGGUCAUCUAGAAGCCCAAAGCCAAGAAUAGAAACUCUCACAAAUGGAAACCUCCGAGAAUAGAAACUUCCAGCUUUAGAAACUUUGGUUUCUAAUUCUGAAUUCUUUGUUCUUCACUUUCAUUUCUUCAUUUCUUAAGCUCCCUUGACCUUCAAACUCGUCCAUUCCUUGUGCUCCAAGCAUGUACUUUUCAAUCCAAGCUCACUUUUUGCUCUCUAAAAUGCUCCAUUUUGCCAUCUUUUAUGUAUUAUGCCCCUUUGAACCUGAAAACACAUGAAAGUAGCUCAAAAGACUACUCUAACGAAGAAAACAUAACGAAAAUGCAUAAGAACUAGCUAGCUAAGGCGCAUAAAUAUGCUCCUAUCAAAUUCCCCCACACUUAGCUUUUGCUAGUCCUCGAGCAAAACAAAGAAACAAAAGAAAACAAAAUGAAACAAAACAAACAAAAACAACCUAAACCUUCCAACAUUUGCCUCAGGGAUUUCCAAUGCACAUGACAAAUUAAAAAUCAUCAUUCCCACAGAUUUUAGCCAUCUUUACACUUAAGCACAUACUUAAUUAUAGUUACCACG